rnacentral:rRNA from 1 species
UAGGGAAUCUUCGGCAAUGGACGAAAGUCUGACCGAGCAACGCCGCGUGAGUGAAGAAGGUUUUCGGAUCGUAAAACUCUGUUGGUAGAGAAGAACGUUGGUGAGAGUGGAAAGCUCAUCAAGUGACGGUAACUACCCAGAAAGGGACGGCUAACUACGUGCAG